GCUGAGUGCGGUGGCGCACGCUUGUAAUCCCAGCACUCUGGAAGCCGAGGCAGAAGGAUUGUGAGUUCAAAGCCAGCCUCAGCAAAAGUGAGGUGCUAAGCAACUCAGUGAGACCCUGUCUCUA
rnacentral:sRNA from 1 species